GAUGAACGCUGGCGGCGUGCCUAAUACAUGCAAGUCGAGCGAACAGACGAGGAGCUUGCUCCUCUGACGUUAGCGGCGGACGGGUGAGUAACACGUGGAUAACCUACCUAUAAGACUGGGAUAACUUCGGGAAACCGGAGCUAAUACCGGAUAAUAUAUUGAACCGCAUGGUUCAAUAGUGAAAGACGGUUUUGCUGUCACUUAUAGAUGGAUCCGCGCCGCAUUAGCUAGUUGGUAAGGUAACGGCUUACCAAGGCAACGAUGCGUAGCCGACCUGAGAGGGUGAUCGGCCACACUGGAACUGAGACACGGUCCAGACUCCUACGGGAGGCAGCAGUAGGGAAUCGUCCGCAAUGGGCGAAAGCUUGACGGAGCAACGCCGCGUGAGUGAUGAAGGUCUUCGGAUCGUAAAACUCUGUUAUUAGGGAAGAACAAAUGUGUAAGUAACUAUGCACGUCUUGACGGUACCUAAUCAGAAAGCCACGGCUAACUACG
rnacentral:rRNA from 1 species